AUUGUAACACUGUGUGUUGUUAGCACCGUACGGUUAGUAUUGAAUGGGACGUAUUUAAUGUAUAUUGUUGUGUGUGUAACGUGGUCAACAUCAACAGGAACUCAUUGGCUUGUCUUUAUGAAUAAUAUUAGUUUGAAUGGGUAAUUACUACAGUUCCCCACGUUUAAGGUGGGUUCAAGUUCUAUGACAAGCAGAAUAAAGAAUAAUAAGGUGGAAAACACUUUGUUUUCUUGUCCGUCUGCCUAUAUCUGUGUAAUAAAUGAAGCUGUUACUUAGUUAUUACAAAUGCUCAUCACCGUUAACGUGAGGGACUCUGUCUAUGCGCUGCGUUGUGUUUUGCUGUGCACAGGAGACGAUGAAGAAGACCACCAACUUCUUCCCAGGCAGGAAGGCGGUGUCCUUCAGAAAGGGCCCAUCGGGUCAUCUGCGGCACGAUCCCUCCGAUGAGGCCAUGAGGAUUAAAACUGAUCCCUCGCUUCAGGACAAGUCUCCUGCUCAGCUCCAGCAUCAUGUGAGCACCAAUGCUCUUCAGCGGGGAGGAGAUGUGUCCGACCGACACGAGGUGAUGGGGGAGUACGGCCUGCAGUUUGGCAAAUACAAGGUGAAAUCAUUCAGAUGGCUCCUAGAAAACGACAUUGGCUACGUCAUCUACCUGAUAAAAACAGUAGAAGAAGAGGAGAGAGCCGGUAAAUUCAACCCCCAAGGAAACAGCAAGGACAGCCUGCUGUCAUUUCUGGACUAUGCCAGGAGCUUCCAGGAAGUUGAGGACCUGAGGGAGUACCUUUCCUCCAGGAAGCCCGCUUCACCUGUGGCUUCAGAAGGGGACACUAUUGUCGGCUUUGGAGUCAGGGCCAAGGACACCUGGGAGCAGAUCUGGAAGAGCAGGGCUGACGGUUAUGCGGCCUUCAUUCUGGGAGUGAAGUGCAUCAAAAACAGCAAGAUGUCCAACCUGCAGCAGCAGAGGGCCGAGUCCGGCCCCCUGCAGCCACAUCCAGAACUCUAGGUCAGCUCGCUAACACAUACAGCUCUGUAGUGACCAUGCACCACACACACACCUCAUGCUCAUGUUUCAUCUCCCAGUGAUGGAGGAGGAGCUGGAGAGAGAGAUGUUGAAUCUGUCUCCCUCUAAGUUCGACACUAGACUAAGGCCCCCAGCAGCAGUCUCCAGAGCCCCGGAUGUGUCUUCACCAACAGGUUUUUCUUCACCCGUGUGGAGGGAGGAUUCGGUUUUCACCAGAGUCCUCCCUGCCAUUACUAUUCUUUGAAAUAGUUUGGUUUUUUGGCCGUGUUCUGGCCUGUUCUGAUGUGUUCUUACUCUCCUACUAACUGAAGGAUUUAACAUGUCGCCUAUGAUGGUAAGUGUUUUCCUUUUUUUGCAUGCUUUCUCUAGGCUGUCCCUCCAGGAUGUGGCAUGUGAACAAAAACCGUUCAUACAUGCCACAUAUUUGAUUGACAGGUUGUGUGCUAUAUAUUGCUAUCGCCAUCGCCCCUCAGCUUGUGAGGGAAGAUCAGGAACCCAACGUGUUGAGGCCAAGUGUGUAGUGCUCCUCGCCUCGCAGGGUGUUAUAGUGUAUAUUAAUCAUGUAUUGAUAACAUCGGCUGUUAACAAUUAGUUUUUCACAUCUGUUGUUCAAACUUUGUUCCAAAGCAUAUGCAAAGCCAGCGUCCCACACUUCUUCUGCAGAGCCGGGGAUACGAAGUGACCACACAUAUAUAUAUAGUUCUAGUAAUACUUUUUUAUUCAUUUCAUUUGUUUUACAUUAAUUCUUUGAGAGGAUUUUAAUUUUGUUCAUUUUAGAAUUCAGCUGUGUAUUUUCAAUAAAAUAUAUUAAAAUCA